GGUGGAGCGACAACCUUCUCCACGGCGACCACGCGCGUCGACCUCACCCACCACGGUAAGCGGAAGCAGAUCAAAGACGGCCUACCCACAGCUCCUCCUGGUGGAGAGGCCGGCCGGCCGGCGUCCGACGACCACGCAGAAGGGCUAGAUCGUCCACUCCGACCUCUUCCGCCCACCAAAUUACAGGACUGGUUGUGUUCUUGGUGUGGAGAGCUGCUGCGAGGGUGCGCUACCUCCUGGUACCUUCACUAAGAAGGGCUCGUCCACUCCCACCUCAACUAGGAGGAGCUCUUCCGCCACCAAAUUACAGGUCAAUUUAUCAUGCAUAUGGAACUCACGACUACAGCCAUCAAAUGCCCCAGUCUGCUCCUCAAGCGGAACCUUAUGGUGACAAUCUUCCACACAUCAAUCCCAGG